CCUACGGGAGGCAGCAGUAGGGAAUAUUGCUCAAUGGGGGAAACCCUGAAGCAGCAACGCCGCGUGAAGGAUGAAGGUUUUAGGAUUGUAAACUCCUUUUGUGAGAGAAGAUAAUGACGGUAUCUCACGAAUAAGCACCGGCUAACUCCGUGCCAGCAGCCGCUGUAAUACGGAGGGUACAAGCGUUACUCGGAAUCACUGGGCGUAAAGCGUGCGAAGGCGGGCUUGUAAGUCAGAUGUGAAAUCCUGUAGCUUAACUACAGAACUGCAUUGGAAACUAUGAGUCUGGAGUGUGGGAGCGGUAGGUGGAAUUCGUGGUGUAGCGGUAAAAUCCGUAGAUAUCAAGCGGAAUACUGAUUGCGAAGGCGACCUACUGGAACAUUACUGACGCUCAUGCACGAAAGCGUGGGGAGCAAACAGGAUUAGAUACCCCUGUAGUC
rnacentral:rRNA from 1 species